rnacentral:rRNA from 1 species
CUACGGGUCGCAGCAGUGAGGAAUAUUGCACAAUGGGGGGAACCCUGAUGCAGCAACGCCGCGUGGAGGAUGACGCAUUUCGGUGUGUAAACUCCUUUUAUAUGUCAAGAAAAUGACGGUAGCAUAUGAAUAAGCACCGGCUAACUCUGUGCCAGCAGCCGCGGUAAUACGGAGGGUGCAAGCGUUACUCGGAAUCACUGGGCGUAAAGGACGCGUAGGCGGGUUGGAAAGUCAGGUGUGAAAUCCUACAGCUUAACUGUAGAACUGCACUUGAAACUUCUAAUCUAGAGUAUGGGAGGGGGAGAUGGAAUUAGUGGUGUAGGGGUAAAAUCCGUAGAUAUCACUAGGAAUACCUAAAGCGAAGGCGAUCUCCUGGAACAUUACUGACGCUAAGGCAUGAAAGCGUGGGGAGCAAACAGGAUUAGAUACCCCUGUAGUC